GGUAAGCGGUCUAUCCAAUCUUUCGACAGCUUUUUGAAGAAGCAAAAGAGCAGCUAGAUGUAGACAAUAGAUGUCCCCGGAUAGUAUUAAGACAAACACAUAGAGCCAAUAACCAGCUCUCUCCGGACGUAUUUAAUUUAUUUCAACUAGACAUUUUUAUUGCAAAAGUCCAUUGUGCUAAUGAGGAUGAAGACAUUGAAACUGCGAAACAACUUGCAAACGACUAUAAACCGCUAGUAGACAACACUCCAGCUUUAAUGACUAUAAACGAAAUAAGGCCUGUAAAGGGUAAGAUGGGAAGCGCAUUGGGAAUAUUCGGCAGUUAAUUUCUAACCUUAUAUAAAAUUGUGAGGCUGAACUAUACGCAGUGUACUACGCAAUGUCAAUUAUAAAAAAAUGUGAAAGGGAUAAAAGGUCAAGCGACGACGAUCAAUUGAACGUUUUGUUGCCUGCCAUUUGGGAGCGUUCUACCAGUUCCGCGACAAUGGCCAACGCAAUCGAUAUACCCCGAUCUACCGUUAGCAAAAUGUUAAAGAGGAAUGGGUAAUAACCAACAAAAAUAAUUGUUGGGUCCUGAUUUGGAGAUUAGGAGAACAUUUUGCCAAUGGGGCUAUCAAAUGGAACGAGCAACACCUAACGUUUUCCAAAAUGUAUUAUUUUCUGAAGAGUCAACUUUCCAGUUCCAGGAGUGCUAGCCCAAACAGUCAUCAUCUUCACCAUUAUAAUGUAAAUCGCAUAAUACAUACUUAAUAUUUUUAACAACUCGCGUCUAGCGACAGCAGAAAAUUCCUGGCUUCCGCAUGCGCAAUUAUGUUUAUUUAUGUUUGGGGGUUAUGUUGCGGCCUUCAAAUGUUUGGCGCUCAGCGGCAACCCAGCUUACAGCAUUUGUGGGAUCUCGAUAGUUCGAGGACGAACGGCAAUAGUCGAUUACGCCAUGGAAAUCCCGAAAAUGCUAGAAUAUUCGCCGGUCGACGAAAGCCGGUGCGCUGAUAUAAAUACAGGAGAGACCGAACUUAAUUUAAUCAGAUUUAGACAGCUAUCAGAUAUAGUUUGAAUUAGUGAUUAUUGUAGUUAUUUUUUGUGAGUUGAAUAAAUUGUUGUGUUGUUAAUUUUUAUUACUAGAAUCCGUCGAACCCCGGAAAAGGUAAGAAUAUAUUUCAGAUUAUUCACGCAAGUGUCGUGUGCAUUCUUUAAGUGUAUCGGUUGUAUUUUCUAAAGUUUUAGCCGAACUGUUACUAUUACAAAAUGACUAACGAAUGUUCAGUAUGUCAAAAGAAAUUUUCUAAACACUCAAAUUUAAGAUGCCACGUAAAAAAAUUCCAUCCUGAUUUAUUAAAUGAAGUCGCACCAAAUAAAGUGUUUAAGUGUUCAGCUGUUUGCAACAAAUGUAACAAAACAUUUACAAUGAAAUCAAAUUUGAAACAGCAUGUACUAAAAUUUCAUGCAGAGGAAGAGAAUAAGCUGACAUCGUCAAAGGUUUACCCAUGUGAAAUAUGUCAGAAAAACUUCUCU
rnacentral:lncRNA from 1 species